AAUUUACACUAUAGGCUUUAGUGUCUAGCUGUAAUUACAUCAAUAAAUAUUAUUUUAUGCCUUAUAACUAGGUAUUAUAAUUAGUUUUUAAUAAUGAAAGUACAGAUUAUUUUUUAAAAAAAAAAAAGGUAUUUAUCAUGUACAUAAUUAUCUAAAUAAAUAAUCUAAUAAAUGUUUCCUACAAAACAUAAAUAAUAAAUAAACAUUUCAAAUAUGUUUUCAUAAUUAAAAUAAAGUGAGCAGUAGUGGCUAGAAUUUUACUUUUGACUCUUUGAUCUAGAACAGUAAAACCGGCCAAACCAUUUCCCCUUAAGAUUAUUUAUUACUUAUUUAGAUAAUAGAAUUUAUUAAUUGUAAAAACACCAUUCAGAACUUCACAAAGAUUUUUGAACUAUGAAUUAACAUUAGCAUAACAAAUAUUUACGCAACUUAGAAUCAGGCUUUUGACUAGUCAAAUUAUUUUUAGUCAAUUGACUGGUGCCAACCCCAAACUAACUAUUUAGAAUUAAACUGUUCCAGUCUUUGUUUGAAUUAUUUCUUAAUUGUUUACAUUUUAGUAGUUUUACAAGAAGUUACAUCAUUAAUUUAAUUUUUUUUUUUUAUAGUAUGAAUUUUCAAAUAU